ACAUGCAAAUAAAACCAUACUAAUAUUUCUAAAAAAAAACUAUUUUUAAAAAAAUGCUAAUUAAAUUUAAAUGAAACCAUAUUUAAAUAAAUAAAACUAAAUUAAAAAAGAUUUAAGGAAAUUACCAAAAAGCCCAAAGUUGUGGGCCCUUUUCUUUUUUCCUUUUUUUUUCUUCUCUUUCCUUUUUUUUUUGCUGGAUGUUGGGCUGCCGGAUUCGGGCCUGGGCGCUGGGCCGAAAGGGGCCUGCUCGGCCUGCUGCUGCUGAGCCUGGAGGCUUGCUGCUGCUGGGCCUACGUUGGGCCUGCGCAAUGGGUCUGCUGGAGGCCUGCUUCUGUUGGGCUGCUGCUUUUUUUAAAACAAAUCUGCUGCUUCUUUUUUUUUUGCUGGUUACUGUUUUGGGCCACUGGGAACGGGCCUGUUGCUGCUGCUGGGUACCGUGGGUCAGGUCGGGUCGGUCGGUUUGACCCGACUGUUAAUUUAUUUUUUUAUUUUUUUUCUUUCCUUUUUUUUUCUCUUUUUUCUUUCUUUGUCUUCCUUCUUUUUUCUUUCUUUCUUUCUUCUUUCUUUUUUCUUCCUUCUCCGUUCAGCAGCAGCCCCUUUGUGUCGCCGGUGAUGUCUCUCCGCCUGGUGCGUCGGCCGACGGUGGCGCGCACGGAGGUGGCAAUGGAGGAGGGAGGCCAUGCAUUGGGGUGGCAGGCGUGGCGAGCGGGGCACGCAAGAAUGCUGGUGGGGGCAGUCUUGUCAUGCCCAGAAGGACUAAAUUGUAACGGGUGAAAAGUUUCUGGGGCAAAAAUGAAAUUUUAGCAAAAUAUAGGGCUAUAAUGUAAUUUAUGGAAAGUUAAGGGGUCAAAGUGUGAUUUAAAAAAAUUUCGGGGUUAAAAUGUAAUUUAUAGAAAAGUUUGGGGUCAAAAUAUAAUUUUUGAAAAGAUCAUGGGCUAAAAUGUAAUUUAUAUUUUUUGUUUUUUUGA